AUUGCCUCAGUAACGGCGAGUGAAGCGGCAACAGCUCAAAUUUGAAAUCUGGCCCCAGGCCCGAGUUGUAAUUUGCAGAGGAUGCUUUUGGCGCGGUGCCUUCCGAGUUCCCUGGAACGGGACGCCAUAGAGGGUGAGAGCCCCGUCUGGUUGGACACCAAGCCUCUGUAAAGCUCCUUCGACGAGUCGAGUAGUUUGGGAAUGCUGCUCARAAUGGGAGGUAUAUGUCUUCUAAAGCUAAAUACCGGCCAGAGACCGAUAGCGCACAAGUAGAGUGAUCRAAAGAUGAAAAGCACUUUGAAAARAGAGUUAAAUAGCACGUGAAAUUGUUAAAAGGGAAGCGUUUAUGACCAGACUUGGGCCGGUUAAUCAUCCAGCGUUCUCGCUGGUGCACUUUGCCGGUCCAGGCCAGCAUCAGUUCGUCGCGGGGGAUAAAGGCGUCGGGAAUGUGGCUCCUCGGAGUGUUAUAGCCCUUCGCGCAAUACCCUGCGGUGGACUGAGGUUCGCGCUCUGCAAGGAUGCUGGCGUAAUGGUCAUCAACGACCCGUCUUGAAACACGGACCAAGGAGUCGUCUUCGUAUGCGAGUGUUCGGGUGUAAAACCCCUACGCGUAAUGAAAGUGAACGCAGGUGAGAGCUUCGGCGCAUCAUCGACCGAUCCUGAUGUUCUCGGAUGGAUUUGAGUAAGAGCAUACGGGGCCGGACCCGAAAGAAGGUGAACUAUGCCUGUAUAGGGUGAAGCCAGAGGAAACUCUGGUGGAGGCUCGCAGCGGUUCUGACGUGCAAAUCGAUCGUCAAAUAUGGGCAUGGGGGCGAAAGACUAAU
rnacentral:rRNA from 1 species